rnacentral:rRNA from 1 species
GUAGUUAGCCGGGGCUUUCUAAUGGGGUACCGUCAUUUUUUCGUCCCCCACAACAGAGGUUUACAAUCCGAAAACCUUCUUCCCUCACGCGGCGUUGCUGGGUCAGGCUUGCGCCCAUUGCCCAAUAUUCCCCACUGCUGCCUCCCGUAGGAGUCUGGACCGUGUCUCAGUUCCAGUGUGGCCGAUCAGCCUCUCAGCUCGGCUACCCAUCGCAGGCUUGGUGGGCUGUUAUCUCACCAACUACCUAAUGGGACGCGAACCCCUCCUUCAGCGGAUUGCUCCUUUGACCUCAUCCCGAUGCCGGGUCGUGGUCUUAUGCGGUAUUAGCACUUGUUUCCAGGUGUUAUCCCCCUCUGAAGGUCAGGUUGUUCACGCGUUACUCACCCGUUCGCCACUAAAAUUUAUCUUCCAUCCGAAAACUUCUGAUAAAUCUCCGUUCGACUUGCAUGUGUUAGGCACGCCGCCAGCGUUCGUCCUGAGCCAUAAUCAAACUCUGA